GUAGGUUGCAACAAGUUUAUUGUCAAUUCAGAUAAUCUUGAGGUUAUCAGUACGAUGAAUGAAGGAGCACGAUCUACAGGUCCAGCGGCUGCAAUCUUUGAUGAUUGCUAUCAUAUCGCGUGCAGCUUCCCUUAUACCUUCUUUGUGCACUGUCCUAGAGAGGCUAAUUCUAUUGCUCAUGAAUUAGCAAAUUUGGCUAAGGGCCCGUCUUGUAAUAGAUUUUUUGUUCAGCCUCCUAGCAAGCUCAUCCUUUUCUUAUUAAGUGACUUAACACUGGUUGAAUCGUAA
rnacentral:rRNA from 1 species